rnacentral:lncRNA from 1 species
UGUCCCCUAAAUGGUCUUCUACUUUCAAAUGAGCUUCCAAUUUAUUUUUUAAGGCAAUUUACUUUGUUUGCAGACAAACAGAGUAAUCACUGCAGUCUAAACCCACAAAUAACAUCAGUGUGUUACGUUGUAAGAGAAAUUACUCUGCUGUUCUCCAAUAAUAGCCAGAGGAAACUCAUCUCUACCUCAAAUGCUGUCAGUCAUUUUGAGAAAUUAUGCAGCAACAUUCAACGUAAACAAGGCAAACACACAGUGGUUGAUUUUGUUUCCUUGAUGAAAAAAGGAAUGUGUGACUCUUUCCUGUAUGGGUACAACCUGUCUAUGGCAGCUCUUGGACCAUUUUUCUUCCUUGUUUAUAACCUGCUAUCACCCUAACUUAUUACCUCUACUGCCACCACCUCAGUCGGAGCCACUAUCGUCUCUCGUCUCACGGCAAGAGCCUCUUGAAGGGCUCUCUGCUUCUGCUCUUUCCUUCUUCAGCCGGUUCUCAACACAGCAGUCUGAUUCCAUGGGGCUUCAAGAGAGACUCUCAGCCAGGUCCUGCUUUUAGGCAAGUGAAAUCCCAAAGUUUCCCAUGUGUUUGCUAUUCUCAUCCUCAGUUGACUGCUGCAGCCGAGUUCCUCCUGCUGCUAACUUGUGGCUCUCUUGCUUUAAGUUAAGCCCUGAGUUUCUUAUUUAUCCUCUCUAGACAUGGAUAACUAGUAAUCAUAUAUCUCUUUCCCAAAAGCCCUUCAUGCAGAUGAACACAGUUAACCCUCCACAUUCUGGUCUGUAAUGAAAUAGCCCCAAUAUCAUUCAUCUUUCUCCAGGGGACUUUUUUUUUUCCUGAAAUAAUGUUAUUUUAACAAAUAUAUUUCAAAUAUAUAUUUCAAGUAUAUGCAACAAUUUACUCAAUGCAACAGUUCACUAAAGCUCAAGCUUAAAGUCGUGAGCAAGGAUUGCCUUAUGAGGAAACCACUAUAUAACUUGGUUUAAAAGAAUUUUGUUUGGUUUAAACAGUAAAAUCUUCAUGGAACAAGGAGAAAUCCCAUUAGGAUACAACUUCAAAAUGAUCUUAAAGCUUGGGAAGAAGCACCCAUUUGCCUUGAGAGGAUUUAGGAAUGUUACAGAAGGAAUACGAAGCGGUAGGAAGAGUUGGUAUUUAGCCUCUGACAUCAAAAUAGGAUUUUCAAAAGAGGCAACAAUCAUUUAAGCCAGAUUUUGUCCAGAAAGAAUUUUCUAAAUUUCUUUAAGUAUCAAGACAAAGCAGAGAAUUUGAAUCACAGAUUUUCUUCCACAGUGCAGAGAGGAUGGCCCUUCCCCUUAAGAUAGCUAAGCUAUGAGGAUGGCUGACUAAGGAGAAAAGAAGAUACGACACAGAGGAAGCAGAAAGGCUGCAGCCUGCUGCUUCUGGUCCAAGGGAAGCAAGACAAGGAGUUUGAGGAGAUCAAUAUCAAACUCUUGCCCCUAUAUCCCACGUAAGGUUGAAAGCUUAGGAAGUAAGGUUUUAGAAACAUCCAGAUAGGAUGUGGAAGCUGAAGGGCCUUUGGACUAGGGCCUUACCUCUCUGAGGAUAGUAUAGAAGAGGGUGUAGCUCCUAGAAAAAGCUCCAGCCUUGCUGGAUGCACAUUCAAGAUGGCGUGGGGGAGAUGGCGUGGAGUGGAGGACAAUGUGGAUUGAGAGGUGAGCAACUGCUUCCUCCUGCUCACAAAUGCAACCUUAAAGGGGACCCCCAGUGAGGGGUCUCAGGGGUGCAGAAGAUCUUGUAGACCAGCAGAGGCUUACGAACAGAGAGGAGAGGCUAAAGGGUGUGAAGACAUAGAGGCAAGUGACCAGGACCACAGACUCCAGUGCUGGAAACUAAGUUUUCACCUUCAAAAGCCUGAUAGCACCUGUCACACCUCAGCAGUCACCAGUCCAAAGAGCAGCCCCCCUGCAUCUCCCCUAAGCUUCUGGAAGGAUGCAGAAACUUCAGCCCUCUUUCCUCCUCUGUUUCUAGAGAGGAACAGAGGAGAGAGCCAACUUCUGAAUGCGAAGUCAUCCAAGCAGAAACAGAGUUAUCUGAAGAGACAGUGAAAAUGAUUGGACAAGAUUAACAUCUGCAGAUUAAAAAAAAUAUGUACCCACUGGCCACCCCCACACUUUCCAAUUCCCCAACAAUGUGGGGACUUUUGAGGAAAUCUGAAAAGUUAUAAUGAAAUGAAGAAGCUGCAUUUCUUUGUCCAUCUGGGUGUACACAGUGUGAAUGAAUAUUCAGCACUACUACACGUCAUUGAAAUUAGGGGUUAAAUGAGCGUUGACUGCAAUAAAUUAUUCUCAGUGUAACUCAAUAGAUAUAUGAUAAAGCUGAACUAAGAAACUUGUCUUCAGAAUGUAUGGCAUUAUUUCCAAUUGCUCUAAGCAAGAACUAUCCUAAGCCGUUAUUAGACCAUCUUCCUCCAAUGACUUUAAGAGCAGACUUCAGAAUAUAGUGCUAUUUUAUUUUCAUUUUAUUUUUUUGCUGUGGAAGAUUUGCCCUGAGCCAACAUCUGUGCCAAUUGUCCCCUAUUUUGUAUGUGGGUCGCCUCCACAGCAUGGCUGCCAAUGCAUGGUAUAGGUGUGCACCCAGGAACUGAACCUGGGCCACCAAAAUGGAGCGUACCACACUUAACCACUAGGCCAUGGGUCUGGCUCAUAUAGUGCUAUUUUAAGGGUCUUCAUGUAUUUACUAAGAUCCAAACAAGUGGAUUGAUUACCACUAUUGAAAUCCUUUCAAAGUGUCAAAGCACUAUAAAAAAUCUAUACAAACAUCCCUGAAUUGUAUGCUUCACCUCUUGUUCUCUAAUCAUCUAUUGUCAUUACUCUAAUUUUUCCCUGUGGUCUAUGAUUUGCUAGUUCCAAGUAAGCUAGAGGAAAUUUGCUUCACUUCAGCAUCUGAUAUUUUAUGUUUCAGAAUUCACUGAAUAAAUGCUUAUUGGGUAAGUUCCUCUUCCAAGUUAGGUAUUGUUUCCCUUUUUAGCCCCACUUCUUAGUCAAAUGGGAGAGAUGGAGAGAGCGACAGCUUUGCCCUUUCAACAACAGAAGUAGUAAUAAAUAUAAGUGCUCAUCAUUGGU